rnacentral:rRNA from 1 species
UACGUAGGUGGCAAGCGUUACUCGGAAUUACUAGGCGUAAAGCGCAGGUAGGCGGUUGGAUAAGUUUCUUGUGAAAGCUCCCGGCUUAACUGGGAGAGGCCAAGGAAUACUAUCCGACUUGAGUAUGGUAGGGGUAACUGGAAUUCCCGGUGUAGCGGUGAAAUGCGUAGAUAUCGUGAGGAAUACCUAUGGCGAAGGCAGGUUACUGGGCCAUUACUGACGCUGAGCUGCGAAAGCUAGGGGAGCAAACAGG